rnacentral:rRNA from 1 species
UACGGGGGGGGCAAGCGUUGUUCGGAAUUACUGGGCGUAAAGGGCUCGUAGGCGGCCAACUAAGUCAGACGUGAAAUCCCUCGGCUUAACCGGGGAACUGCGUCCGAUACUGGAAGGCUUGAAUCCGGGAGAGGGAUGCGGAAUUCCAGGUGUAGCGGUGAAAUGCGCAGAUAUCAGGAGGAACACCGAUGGCGAAGGCAGGUCUCUGGGCCGAUACUGACGCUGAGGAGCGAAAGCGUGGGGAGCGAACAGG